rnacentral:rRNA from 1 species
AAAAUAUAUGUUAAGUGGAAAAGGAUGUGGCGUUGCCCAGACAACUAGGAUGUUGGCUUAGAAGCAGCCAUCAUUUAAAGAGUGCGUAAUAGCUCACUAGUCGAGUGACACUGCGCCGAAAAUGUACCGGGGCUAAACAUAUUACCGAAGCUGUGGAUUGUCCUUUGGACAAUGGUAGGAGAGCGUUCUAAGGGCGUUGAAGCAUGAUCGUAAGGACAUGUGGAGCGCUUAGAAGUGAGAAUGCCGGUGUGAGUAGCGAAAGACGGGUGAGAAUCCCGUCCACCGAUUGACUAAGGUUUCCAGAGGAAGGCUCGUCCGCUCUGGGUUAGUCGGGUCCUAAGCUGAGGCCGACAGGCGUAGGCGAUGGAUAACAGGUUGAUAUUCCUGUACCACCUAUAAUCGUUUUAAUCGAUGGGGGGACGCAGUAGGAUAGGCGAAGCGUGCGAUUGGAUUGCACGUCUAAGCAGUAAGGCUGAGUAUUAGGCAAAUCCGGUACUCGUUAAGGCUGAGCUGUGAUGGGGAGAAGACAUUGAGUCUUCGAGUCGUUGAUUUCACACUGCCGAGAAAAGCCUCUAGAUAGAAAAUAGGUGCCCGUACCGCAAACCGACACAGGUAGUCAAGAUGAGAAUUCUAAGGUGAGCGAGCGAACUCUCGUUAAGGAACUCGGCAAAAUGACCCCGUAACUUCGGGAGAAGGGGUGCUCUUUAGGGUUAACGCCCAGAAGAGCCGCAGUGAAUAGGCCCAAGCGACUGUUUAUCAAAAACACAGGUCUCUGCUAAACCGUAAGGUGAUGUAUAGGGGCUGACGCCUGCCCGGUGCUGGAAGGUUAAGAGGAGUGGUUAGCUUCUGCGAAGCUACGAAUCGAAGCCCCAGUAAACGGCGGCCGUAACUAUAACGGUCCUAAGGUAGCGAAAUUCCUUGUCGGGUAAGUUCCGACCCGCACGAAAGGCGUAACGAUUUGGGCACUGUCUCAACGAGAGACUCGGUGAAAUCAUAGUACCUGUGAAGAUGCAGGUUACCCGCGACAGGACGGAAAGACCCCGUGGAGCUUUACUGUAGCCUGAUAUUGAAAUUCGGCACAGCUUGUACAGGAUAGGUAGGAGCCUUUGAAACGUGAGCGCUAGCUUACGUGGAGGCGCUGGUGGGAUACUACCCUAGCUGUGUUGGCUUUCUAACCCGCACCACUUAUCGUGGUGGGAGACAGUGUCAGGCGGGCAGUUUGACUGGGGCGGUCGCCUCCUAAAAGGUAACGGAGGCGCUCAAAGGUUCCCUCAGAAUGGUUGGAAAUCAUUCAUAGAGUGUAAAGGCAUAAGGGAGCUUGACUGCGAGACCUACAAGUCGAGCAGGGUCGAAAGACGGACUUAGUGAUCCGGUGGUUCCGCAUGGAAGGGCCAUCGCUCAACGGAUAAAAGCUACCCCGGGGAUAACAGGCUUAUCUCCCCCAAGAGUUCACAUCGACGGGGAGGUUUGGCACCUCGAUGUCGGCUCAUCGCAUCCUGGGGCUGUAGUCGGUCCCAAGGGUUGGGCUGUUCGCCCAUUAAAGCGGUACGCGAGCUGGGUUCAGAACGUCGUGAGACAGUUCGGUCCCUAUCCGUCGUGGGCGUAGGAAAUUUGAGAGGAGCUGUCCUUAGUACGAGAGGACCGGGAUGGACAUACCUCUGGUGUACCAGUUGUCGUGCCAACGGCAUAGCUGGGUAGCUAUGUGUGGACGGGAUAAGUGCUGAAAGCAUCUAAGCAUGAAGCCCCCCUCAAGAUGAGAUUUCCCAACUUCGGUUAUAAGAUCCCUCAAAGAUGAUGAGGUUAAUAGGUUCGAGGUGGAAGCAUGGUGACAUGUGGAGCUGACGAAUACUAAUCGAUCGAAGACUUAAUCAAAA